CGCCGUAAUGAUUAAUAGGGACAGUCGGGGGCAUCAGUAUUCAAUUGUCAGAGGUGAAAUUCUUGGAUUUAUAGAAGACGAACUACUGCGAAAGCAUUUACCAAGGAUGUUUUCAUUAAUCAAGAACGAAAGUUAGGGGAUCGAAGAAGAUUAGAUACCUUCGUAGUCCUAACCAUAAACUAUGCCGACUCGGGAUUGGCGGUCGUUUUUUUACCGACUCCGUCAGCACCGUAUGAGAAAUCAAAGUCUUUGGGUUCCGGGGGGAGUAUGGUCGCAAGGCUGAAACUUAAAG
rnacentral:rRNA from 14 species